AUACAUGCAAGUCGAACGAGCUGCGCCUAAUGAUAGUUGAUGCUUGCAUUAACUUGACUUAAGUUAGCAGCGAGUGGCGAACUGGUGAGUAACACGUGGAUAACCUGCCCAGAAGAAGGGGAUAACACCUGGAAACAGAUGCUAAUACCGUAUAACAACGAAAACCACAUGGUUUUCGUUUGAAAGAUGGCCUUUGUGCUAUCGCUUUUGGAUGGAUCCGCGGCGCAUUAGCUAGUUGGUGAGAUAAAGGCUCACCAAGGCAAUGAUGCGUAGCCGACCUGAGAGGGUAAUCGGCCACAUUGGGACUGAGACACGGCCCAGACUCCUACGGGAGGCAGCAGUAGGGAAUCUUCCACAAUGGACGAAAGUCUGAUGGAGCAAUGCCGCGUGAGUGAAGAAGGGUUUCGGCUCGUAAAACUCUGUUGUUAGAGAAGAACGGGCGUGAGAGUAACUGCUCACGUCGCGACGGUAUCUAACCAGAAAGUCACGGCUAACUACGUGCCAGCAGCCGCGGUAAUACGUAGGUGGCAAGCGUUGUCCGGAUUUAUUGGGCGUAAAGCGAGCGCAGGCGGUCUUCUAAGUCUGAUGUGAAAGCCUUCGGCUUAACCGGAGAAGUGCAUCGGAAACUGGGAAACUUGAGUGCAGAAGAGGACAGUGGAACUCCAUGUGUAGCGGUGAAAUGCGUAGAUAUAUGGAGGAACACCAGUGGCGAAGGCGGCUGUCUAGUCUGUAACUGACGCUGAG
rnacentral:rRNA from 1 species